rnacentral:rRNA from 1 species
UUCUCGUACGAUCACUUAAGUUAAGCAACGUCGAGCCUGGUCAGUACCUAGAUGGGUGACCGAUUGGGAAUACCAGGUACUGUAAG